ensembl:lncRNA
GUGCUGACAUGUCUCAAACUCCCCCCUUCCUCAGUGAGUGAGCGGUUUGACCUGGUGUUGGCAGUUGAUGGCCCAGUAGACCUGCCUGCGUGCAUUUGAAUGUCAAAGAGCAUCUUGGAGCUGUCACGGCCCGCCUGCCACACAAGAGGAACUUCCCUCCAGUCCUCGGCGUUACCCACAUGGCAAGAGGAUGUGCAGCGGCUGAUGUGGAGGAAAGACAAUCAGGAGGGGAAAAACCUGUAUACCUUCAACGACCCCGUGAGUUCCCCCAACAAAGCGAUGUAUCCUGUCUAAAACCCACUGCUCCUGGGAUUCUCCACAGAGCGCGCUGCAAAUGGAGCAGUUCUUCAGUGUCAUCCUUAUUCUUGGUGCCGAUUUCAUCAGUGGGUCAGAGUUUACUUGCUUGCGGAUACUCUUCGGAAAGGCAAGUCUUUGUUACUCCGUUAUCCAGAAUCCAUAGUGGGCCUCACCACGUUCAGCCAUAAGUACAACAGUCCCGUUUGUCGAAGGAAUUGGGAACGCGCCUGAGACCACAAACCACAGGCGUUGCUUUUCGGUCGUGCCACCUUUCUUGUGUGGCUUUGCUAUUGGGCCUUUUGUGAGAGGUUCUUAAUCGACUAACUAGACCAUAAAGCACCCUAACAGGACUAAUCCAGAGGCUCUCUGGGGCUCUCCCAGGUGCUGAUUGGUGGAGAUGGAUGCUAUCUGGUGCGGUGCAGCUCCAUUGGGCAUUUAAACAACAUUAAUGUUGCUGGAUAGGCAGAGGGAAGGAGAACAUUAUGAACCAUGAAUGAUGGUCUUCUGACAAAUCAGUUUGUGCUGUGACAAAUGUGCAUUUCAUGACACUCUCCAGUUGCUUCUGUCAGCAGGGAUGACAAAUGUAGCUACUGUGUUUGUGUGCUGACGUUGAUGCAUGAAUGUUCAGUAAAGUCCUCAGUAACUGAUCGUUGCCUGCGCUUUUAUGCACUUGACAGAAGUAUUUAAAAGUAAUGCAGCGACAGAAAAUGUUUAGCGCCUCUCGAUAUACAGGUAGUGUCAAUGAUGUCAAACUAACAGAGAAAGCUUAUUCUUUAUUCCUUUAAAAUUAAGAUAUUUUGAAUUCAACAGACUAUGAUAAAGUUUUUAACAAUAAAUAGUCUUUUUUAACAUGUCA